CACGCGAUUUCCUUAUUGUGCAGGUGCUUUGACGUUUUGCUGAAAAUUAUACUGAUACACAACUGCUGUGAACAUAAAAGAUAGUCAAAGGACUGUGUUUAUGACAAAAUAAGUUGUUUCAAGAUAGGAUGAGUACAUGAAGUUGGCUAGCACUUCAUUUAAGACGGUACAAGUUUCUGUACGCGAAAUUAAGUUUUGGCCAAUUGCAGAAGAGCUCAGGUGCCAAGCCCCCACAUGACCUUCUUUCAAGGACAUAUGCCGUUGUGUCGGAAAAACAAGCUGUAUUCAGGUUGAUGUCUCAACACAAGUGUGGACACAAUAUAAGGAUAGAAUAACGGAUAAUCAAAUAGCUUAAGAUACAAACUGACAAUGUGUUGUCAUCCUUCAUCAAGGCAAUCUAUUUAAUAUUGGCCAAGUAGAUAAUAAUAACACAAAGAAAUCAUGUCUGAUUUGAAACGGACAAAAACAGCACCAGGAGUUUUGACCAACAUGCUUCUUGGGGAAAGACCUACAUUGAAAACCAGGGAUGACAUAUUGAUUCAUGAUGGAAGUCCCCAUGAAGGAGAGGGGGUAUCUGACUUUGAGAGAGCGAAUCCUUUGGAGCGCCCUGGAUUGUUCCAGAAAGCUAUGGGCAUUAGGGACAUUCAGUCUAAAAUUGAAUUUUCAAGUCAAGAAAACUUCACACAGAAUGUUUUCUCCAAACAACCAACUGCUGGGCAGACUUCAGAAAAUGCCACAAAGAGUGAACAAACCAGUUGGUUUCAAGGUCUAGGAAGUGUCCUUAGAAAUUGGAAACACAGCAUUAACAAGGAAGAAUCCAAGCCCAUGUUGUUCAGUCAACAUAAAGAUAGUAAUAUAUUUGUAAAAGAAUCUGCAA